rnacentral:lncRNA from 1 species
UCACGUCAGGUGAUUACCGAAAGAUAAUGCGACGCGGCACGGUAGCACUGAACGGUACUCAACAUCAUUUGUUACCCUUUGGAUUGUGUUCUACCAGGAGGUCGUAGUCGAGGUGUCCCGUUCAAAUGAACAAGCGCAAGCCUUAAGUACUUGCCCAUGUGGUUGGAUGCGGCAGGCGUUAGAGCAUGCACUCAGCGCAAACGCUGGCGUAUCGACGUAUUUCGGACUUUCUCCACCAUCCGGUCCUCACCCUGCGUACCCAUUCCCGGUAGAGCCCUCUCCCGACUCAUGUAGUACUGCCGCGCGAGCGCCAGUCGCUUAGGAUUAUUCAGACAAGUAACAGUAGCUUUGGCAGCCUGUUUUAAGUUUUAUCAGCGUGCGUGGUUCCGAUGCUCUUUCGGCCAACGUCCUACCACUAAUAUACUAACUGUGGCCUAUAAUUACCAGCGUUGAAGAUGUUCAUCAUUGGAUAUUAAAUUGGUACAGUUAUCUGGGAGCUGGUCGUACGCUGGAUAACUGAGUGGAAUUAGGACAUACUGUUGGAGUGAGGGAUAACCAGUUUCCCACAGAUAUGUAAAUGGAAAAACUGUGGAGCGUUAAAAAGCGGAUUAUUAACAAGCGGAACGUUUAACUUUUUGCCAUACUAAAUGUCGCUCUCAGGUGGAAACUGCGGUGAUGCGGAUAGAGCUAUGUAACUUGCGGUUGCCUUCGCUCUAACUACGUCACAGUCCUAUUCAGGUCUAUUUGACUACUGUUAGGACAAAGGGCAGAUAACAGAUCAACUGGAAUAUGUGCUUAAGCAACAACAGUGAUAAACAAACCCAUGACAACUGAAAGCUCAUUGGCUUUCAGCUAGCGAACAUUCACCAUUCACUUGCAUGUAAGCCGAGCAAUAAAUAAGCCUGCAGUAUCAUCAGCUACUGAUGACAGUUAUUAACCUCGAAUCGGGUUAUUGCACCAUCACCCAGUGACUGUUUGCCACUGCCGGAAGCUGUGACUGCUUGGCAGAUAAUGCGUGUGUUUACCUCUGAGCGCGUGCAUGUGUAUGUUUCAGUGCGUGCGGUUGCGUGUUCUUCACUACCUUCUGAUGAUCUAAUCUGCAACAUAUGUAGCACGUGACUUGAAAAGUGUCGGCCAUUAGCAUCAUUGCUAACAACAGCCAUAAGACUCGUCAUCUGUAACAACAACAACAACAACACCGGCCCGGCGAUGAGCAAAAAAGCGACAGGGAAAAAUGUAGCUGAAGGAAAAAGACUGCAUCGCUCGCAACAUCAUCACUGUGAUAAUUCAGUUUCCCGAUGACCGGGUUGUAGUAGUGUCGGAUAGUAGCCCAAAUACGGGCAUGCAGUACGGAGACCGUAGCAACAGAGGCACCAGCAGGAAUAGGAGACCGCACAACAGGCUGCAUGCGGACUAGCAAGUCGGGUAAGGCAAAUCUACACACAAUUGUAGUGUGAUAAAAAGACAACUUCAAUUCGGCUGAAAUCGUCGAUUGAGCCCCAAUCUACUGAUUAUAAUGAUGCUAAAAAAACAAUAUGUCAUGACACUACUAUCGAAAACGUCUCGAAGGUUCAUGUCAACGAUUAUGGAGCAGUUUAGGUGGCGAGUGACUUCUAGCCAAAGGACGUUCAACAUGACAGCAGAACAAAAUCGUCCACCCAAGCUUCCGCAAUAAUAGGGCAUGUGCCUGAUAGAUUAUAUAAAGACAGUGGUGGACCUUAAACUUGAAACAGUUAGCCAAUAAAGCUUGUACAUUCGCUGUGGUUUAUAGACGGUACAUGUUAUGAAGUGUCGCUUAAUGAUCUGCGUCUUUAGUAAUAAAAAUUGCACUUUUGCCGUAUA